GCGGGUGGAUUGCCUGAGCUCAGGAGUUCGAGACCAGCCUGGGCAACAUGGUGAAACCCCAUGUCUACUAAAAAUACAAAAAUUGGCCGGGUGUGGCAGCAUGCACCUGUAGUCCCAGCUACUCGGGAGGCUGAGGCAGGAAGGAGAAUCUCUUGAACCCGGGAGGCAGAGGUUGCAGUGAGCCGAGAUCGUGCCACUGCACUCCAGCCUGGACAACAGAGUGAGAUCCUAUCUCAAAAUAAAUACAUAAAUAAAAUAAAUAAAGAUUAAAAAAAAAGAAUUGGGUGGACCUUUGGGCAGUCCUUAAGGGAAAAUGACACAGGGUGAGGUAGUAACUUCCCUAGAGACCCACAGCCAGGUGGAAAUGACAGAGGCUGAAAUCCAAGGCGGAGACAGAGAGCGGGGAGGGAAGCCGGAGGUGGUCUAGGGAAGGGGCUGAGACUGAGAGUGGGGAGAGAAGCUGGAGGUGGCCCCAGGGAGGGGCCGAGACCACAGGGUGUAGAGGGGCAGGGAGAGGAGUCGGGGGCACCCGGGCGAGCCCCACCUGGCUGGCACACUUGUUCGUGCCCAUCUGGAGGCUGAUGGUCGAGUGGUCCAUGGGGGGCAGGAUAUGGUUCUUGGGGUCAUAGAGAUGCCUUCUCGUGCCGUAGGCAGUCAUGCCCGACUGGCUGGCGCAUUUGUUGGUGCCCAUCUGCAGGGAGGUUCGUGGGAGAGGUCAGACU
rnacentral:lncRNA from 1 species